AGCAGCCGCGGUAAUUCCAGCUCCAAUAGCGUAUAUUAAAGUUGCUGCAGUUAAAAAGCUCGUAGUUGAAUUUCGGAACCAAUAUGUUGGUUGUGCCUCAGUACGUACUGGCAUUGUUGGUUUCUCCCUUCUGACGAACUAUGAUGUCAUUAAUUUGGUGUCAUGGGGAAUCAGGACUGUUACUUUGAAAAAAUUAGAGUGUUUAAAGCAGGCUCACGCUUGAAUACAUUAGCAUGGAAUAAUGAAAUAGGACGUUUGAUUCUAUUUUGUUGGUUUCUAGGAUUGACGUAAUGAUUAAUAGGGAUAGUUGGGGCAUUAGUAUUCAAUUGUCAGAGGUGAAAUUCUUGGAUUUAUUGAAGACUAACU
rnacentral:rRNA from 1 species